CUGCAGCCAAUUAAGCUGGCCACCCUCCUCCUUGUCUGGGCCUGUGUGCAGUGGCUGCAAAGAGAAAGCCUCCUCGGUAGUGAAGGCAGCCUGUUGGCAUGUAUAGGCUACCCUAAGAGACCUGGGAGACAACC
ensembl:snoRNA SNORA70 Small nucleolar RNA SNORA70